AAACAAAGCAGUCUUUCCCAGCUACAGUAUGAUGCUGUACAUAUUUUUGUUAAAGGUUCACUUCUAAGUGUCCUUGCUAUAGCAUAUAUGGCAGGAAUAUGUUGUCAUUUUCUCAACUGUAGAGUUAAUAAUUUCAAAGGAGACCCCUGGUGUGUUUUUGCUCUCACUGUAGCUCAUGAGUUAGGCUAUGAACUGGGUAUGCAGCAUGAAAAAGAAUUCUGUGUGUGUGGACAAAGUGCUUGCAUCAUGAAUGCUAUUAGGUUGCCAGCAGAGAGAUUCACAAAUUGUAGCUAUGCAGAAUUUACAAAGACCGCUUUAAACCAGGGAUCAUGUCUGCACAAUCCUCCAAUUCCAGGGACAGUCUUCAUGCUGAAGCACUGUGGGAAUGGUGUGAUUGAAGAAGAGAAGUGUGACUGUGGAUCUAUAAAGCAGUGUGAACAAGAUCCCUGUUGUCUGUUGAACUGCACUCUAAGACCUGGGGCUGCUUGUGCUUUUGGGCUUUGUUGCAAAGACUGCAAGUUCAUGCCAUCAGGGGAGCUCUGUAGACCUCAGAUCCAUGAAUGUGACCUUCCAGAGUGGUACAGUGGGAGAUUUCAUCAGUGCCCAGAAGAUGUCCAUGUGCAGAAUGGGAUUCCCUAUAGUGGUAGCCUACUUCUAUCAAAAGAGCUACAAUAGCCAUGAUGAACAGGGCAGGGAGAUUUUUGGUGAAGGUAUAAAGAGUGCAUCUCAGAGUUGCUGUACAGAGAUCAACUCCCUGGGAAGC
rnacentral:lncRNA from 1 species